UCUGCUGCACUCCUGCAUUCUCAUUAUACUGCUGGGCCAUACUAAUUACAAUCAAUCUGAGGUGACUACGUAUGACCUUCGGAGCGGUGAGGAAUUCACGACUGUGAGAUUUACGGAUGUUGCGACCCAAGGCGCGGGUUCAGUGAACUCUGAUAUUAGAAGUGUUCAGGCUGGCAGAUAGCGUCGGGGAGCAUAGUAUGGAAUUGGUUGGAGAUUUGAGACGUGACUGUACUGAGAGAUUUCCACAUCCUUCAGCAUCCUGUAUUUAUGAAGAUAUGAAGAUAUGUUGAAGAAUGGUAGUAAAUUACCAUAAUGCUGGUAAUAUGGUAAGAAUGCUGGUGUUCCACAGAAGAAAGGUGGGUGAAGAGGGUAAAGAGAGUAAAAAAU